rnacentral:rRNA from 1 species
UACAGAGGUCUCAAGCGUUGUUCGGAUUCAUUGGGCGUAAAGGGUGCGUAGGUGGCGAGGUAAGUCAGGUGUGAAAUCUCGGAGCUCAACUCCGAAACUGCACUUGAUACUGCUCCGCUCGAGUACUGGAGAGGAGAUUGGAAUUUACGGUGUAGCAGUGAAAUGCGUAGAUAUCGUAAGGAAGACCAGUGGCGAAGGCGAAUCUCUGGACAGUUACUGACACUGAGGCACGAAGGCCAGGGGAGCAAACGGG